CAAAACAUAGCUUAACUAAAGUAUCUCGCCUACACCGAGAAGAUAUCUGUUAAACCCAGGUCGUUUUGA
rnacentral:tRNA from 1 species